rnacentral:tRNA from 1 species
UAGCUCAGUUGGUAGAGUGCUUGCCUUGCAUGCUCGAGGCCCUGGGUUCAAUCCCCAG